rnacentral:rRNA from 1 species
GACGAACGCUGGCGGCGUGCUUAACACAUGCAAGUCGAGCGGAAAGGCCCUGCUUUUGUGGGGUGCUCGAUUGGCGAACGGGUGCGUAACACGUGAGUAUCCUGACCUUGACUUUCGGAUAACUUCAGGAAACUGGAGCUAAUACCGGAUCGGAGCUUCUUCUGCUUGGUGGGUGUUGGUAAGUUUCGGCGGUUGGGGAUGGACUCGAGGCUUGUCUGCUUGUUGGUGGGGUGUUGGCUUACCAAGGCUUUGGCGGGUAGCCGGCCGGAGAGGGGUACCGGCAACAUUGGGACUGAGAUACGGCCCAGAGUAGUACGGGAGGCAGCAGUGGGGAAUAUUGCACAAUGGGGGGAAGCCUGGUGCAGAAAGGCCGCGUGAGGGAUGACGGACUUCUGGUAGUAAACGGCAAAGGGCUGUGACGAAGCGUGAGUGACGGUAACGGGUAAAGAAGCACCGGCUAACUACGUG